rnacentral:rRNA from 1 species
UACGUAGGGUGCAAGCGUUAAUCGGAAUUACUGGGCGUAAAGCGUGCGCAGGCGGUUUUGUGAGUCUGUCGUGAAAGCCCCGGGCUCAACCUGGGAAUUGCGAUGGAGACUGCAAGGCUUGAAUCUGGCAGAGGGGGGUAGAAUUCCACGUGUAGCAGUGAAAUGCGUAGAGAUGUGGAGGAACACCGAUGGCGAAGGCAGCCCCCUGGGUCAAGAUUGACGCUCAUGCACGAAAGCGUGGGGAGCAAACAGG